UAAGCUUUAAGUUAUCUAAACUUAAGGCCUUCAAAGCCUUUUAAGAGAACCUCUCAAGCUU
rnacentral:tRNA from 1 species